AUGUGCAGCUGGGUGAAUUCCAUUUGCACUAGAAGCCUGGGAAGAAAAGCUCCAGCAAUGUAUACUGUUCAUAAUAAAUAUAAGAUUUGCAACCCUUCUUUCUGCAAAAUACAAGCAUGUCAGUUCAUCAGUUAAGAUGGGCCAGAACCUUCUGAUGACAUCACAUACCUUCUUAUUAUCUGUACUGAAGGUUUGGACAGUUGUGAGACUUGAAGGUUAAUGAAGACUGGGGCGACACACAGGAGAGAUGGCAGUAAGAAGGUAGAGGCUGUAUGUCUCCUGGCUGUGUCAGUGAAGUUUUUCCGACUGUUGCAGACACAGGCUGCCAUAUAACAAUGUCACAGGAAAUACCGUUUGUUUCAAUGCCCAUAUUCAAAGCUGGAAAGACUGCUGUGAAGUAUUGUCUUGUCCUAGUCAAUAGUAUAGAGCCAUAAGAAAAAAAUAAGUUACUUUCAUUAAGUGCUUUUGGAAGAGUGGACACUAAAAUAUUUGCAAAGCUAUUUAAUUUGAUAAAAUAGAUCAUUUUAAUCCAAAUGAAGCAUAAUUAUGUAUCAUUUCAUUUCUAAUUAUUAUAAUAGGAAAGCUAAGGAAUCUGAUAUUGAGUAUGGUACCUAUCUGAAAGACAUUAACACAAGACUGAAUUUCUGUACUAUUUCACAAGAAAUGUUGUAAAACAGAUUUGUCUGUGAUAAAUUUAUGUGAUGCCAUUUAGUGAAGAUAGCCGGCUGCAAAACUAGAUGUAAAUUUUGGAAAAACAUUUGAAAUGGCUUAAGUUAGACUCCAAGUGAUUUGCCAAAAGCUGCUGCAGAAGACUUUUGGAUUUACACAAGUAUGUAAAUGAUACUUCUAGCAGAAAUGCAGAGAUAAAUCUGAUACCCAGAUGCUAUUUGGAAAAGAAACAAAGUAUGUUUAAAGAAUGUUAUAUAUGUGGUGGAAAGGAGCAACAACAUGAAUUCAAAUGUAACAAUGAAAAAUGUAAUCAUUCUGAGUUGUCUUGUCCUAAUGUUAAACACUGCACGGAGAAUAAUAUAGAUUUCAGAUGUAAACUACUGACAAAGUUGCAAAAACAAACCCAAAUUAAAAUGUUGAAAGUAAACAGCACUGCCCUAAAAGUAAUCUAGGCCAUAUAUAUGACAGAGACAAUAUGAGAGAAUGGGUUAAUUGCAUAGUCGGGAAUCCUGGCCAUCUCAAAAUUACCUGCUGCCAUUAAAAGGAAGUGACAAAACUUAUUUGAGGUAGACUGAGGUCACUGUGUCACUGUCAUGUAUAAUACAAAUGAUAUAAUAUUACGGAAAAACGUAAAAGUAUCGGGACUUUCAGAAUGAAGGACUGCUUUAAAAACAUAUAAAUUACAUGGGGUAGAUAUCUUAGUGUCUACCCAUCUUAUAGCUGUUCUUGAGCGUUACUACCAGUUGCAGAACAAAUUUGCAGGACAACUGGAUAUAAGGCAGAAUAUUGCAAUAACUUAUCUGACACAUGGAGAAUGUCUUACAUGUUUUGCAAAAACAUGUUAGUGCACUGUUUCAAAGUUAUCUAUAUGGAUAACAUUGUACUUCCCAUUACUUUCAAACCAAGGUAAGUCUCAUAUGCUUUAAAACAAAUUAACAAGCAAAAUUAAACUUUCUUGCAUGGAAAGAACUGAUUAGACCUGUGAAGUUUAUACAGUAGACUAUGCCUGUUCUCCGACAUGAAACGGGAUGUCUAUUGUUAAGAUCUGUGGUAACUACAGCUUUAAUCAUGUCUAAAAUAAUCCCUGCCUAAGAUGGGAAACCUAUUUUUAUUUGUUUACUUUUUUAACCAGGUAAGUGAUUAAUUUUGUUAGCUUAGUAAGUGAACUGGCCAAAAGACCCUUUUUAGCCAGGACUCAUGCUUAAGGCAGUUGUAAUUAUAAACUGAUGUAUGUUCAUAAUUUUAGCUCUACAUUUGGAGCAGUCAAGUGUAUUGGCAGACGUAACCAUAUUUUGACAGCAAUAUUUACAUGUUUAUAGACAGCAGAUGUAUGGUAAAACAUCCGUUUUAAUAUCAUACAGUUAGCAAGUUGUAGAUCAUUGUGUAUAUAGUGUACCUAGUCAUCCACUGUAGCUAGAUAGCACGUGCAUAUAAGUUACUGAGCAUGUGCAAGAUCAUUGCCAUUUUAUACAGUCAGCCAGAGUGAAUGCAGUCCCGAAUGGAGAUGCACGUGCGAGUGUGUUUGAAGUAAUGAGCCAGUCAUUUAACUUAAGUACAUGUUCCAGUAACAGCUCCUGAUGUGUUUAUGUACAAUAAACAACUUGAACCCA